GACAGUAAGCUAAUUCUGUUUUGUUUAAAUUUCAAUUAGUUGUCACCCUACAGUCUGACUUUAUAUAACUUUACAAAAUAAUACAACCACAAAACAGAGAGAGCAUAAACAGUUGCAGGAUCAGUUGAAUGAUGAAAUAAAUCAACUGUAACAACUGGAAUAAAGAGGAUACUUUGUGGAGCAGGAUAUUCGCUAAUAUUUCUGAAAGAAUAGCCAAAGCUUUCAACUGUAGAUUUUAUUUUCCAUAUUUACUUCUAAAAGCUUUUCCCUGAAUGCCAUCACAAAAAAACAUUUCUCUCCCUGAAAGAGAGAAGUUGUGAGGAAGGUUUAGCAGAGGGAGUAAUUGUUCUCUCUCGAUGCUGGGAGCCUGAUAGCUGCCUUAUGGAUGAGGUGAUCGCUGAGGGCCUGCUCCAGCGCCGCGUCGCUCUGCUCCCCCGCCCCACCGGUCAGUCUGUGGUUAUGUCAAUAACAACUGGGACUGAGCGAUCCCUCCGCAGGCUGCAUAUCUGCUGUUUAUGUCAGUUUUUGCUCAUGUUUCUGCUGUUUGGCUGAUAGCUCCAUCCACCCGGGGAGAGAAGUGUCUUUUCACUUUGAUCAUCUUCGAAUGCGACGCCUCUGUCCUUUAUGGCUGCAUUCUUUUCAACAGGAAUGGAAUUUCAGCCUCUGUCUUCAUUUUACAUACACAAGGCUGCAAGAUAAGUGAGGAAUUUCCCAAAGCUGUGCAAAUUGAAGCUGAUCACUCCUGAUAAGACCGCAUCCACUCUUCAUUCAUCACAUUAUCAGCCUCAAAACCAUAAUGAGCAGUUGGAAGAGAUGUGUUUUAUCGUCGGUGUAUGCGGAGGCUAACCGACCAGAGACAGGAGUGAAGCUCAGGCAGCAGCCGAUCCCACGUCUGCAGGACACAGAUCCACAGAUCUUUUCCGAUUCUUUUCUAUGAGUAUCUCAGACGGACCACCAGCCUGACCGAGCUUCAGUGGGACUCACUCCUCCUAACUGAUGUCAUGUUUCCGCUCCAUACCGCAACAACGUCCCAACAACGUGAACCUUCACAUGCGCUCUCCUGGCCACAGACCUCCACCAGAAACAGGGAACACAAGCAGCAGAUAGAGAGGAAGGAAGGAAGAAAGGAUUUAAAGGCAUACAAGGCCCAAGCCUGUGCAGCGCUGCUCAGUGGGGAAUGUAAAGUAGGAGUCAGCUUAAUCUCCAGCACCCAUAAGAGACUGGCUCCUGUCUGCCUGACUGCCACUGCCAUAUCUGUGUUUCAUUUCAGCCUGUCAGGUCCUAUCUGGCUCCCCGAAAACUGCUUCUGCCGGCUGCAGGACCCCCUGACGGUGGGCAGAGGAUCUGGA